AGCUUGAAAGAGCAUCACAAAAUUAGUAAUAUUCCAAAGUUUUGUUGCAAAAUCUUGUAAAAUGCGGAUAAUAUAGCCUUGUAAAGUUUGCCGUUUUUCAGUCAUUUUGUAUUACAAACGGGAAAUUGACAUCCGAUUCGGGUGUUGGGGCUGCAAUUUCCCGUUUGUAAUGCAAAAUGACUGAAAAUUGCAAAUUUCGCAAGGCUCUAUUUUCCUCAUUUUACAUCAUUUCGCAACGAAACUUUGGAAUAUUACUAAUUUUGUGAUGCUCUUUCAAGCUGCGAUGAAAUAUUUGUCUAGACUUGCCUAGAUCAAAAUUUCGGCUAUAAGGGGAAAGGUCUAUUGAUCAUAAAAUAUCGCAUUAGUAUUUGCUUUGUUACACUCGAAUUUCUGCGUCUAUUUGACACGGAGAAUAGGAUAUAUACCAUGAGAAAUAGUGUUACAAACUAGUUACAUAUUUGGUAAAAGGUUUCUGGCUUUUGUUUUGGCUCAAAGUGCACUACGCGUGGUAAUAUAUACUCGGUAUUGUAGAUAGUCAUGAAAUUGUGUUUACCCAGCCAAUGAUGUCAGAUAAUGUAUUUCGUGGC